ensembl:lncRNA
UGGGAUUACAUCAUGUUCCUCAGCUCCUCUCUAGAUUUAUUAAUCAUGUCUUGCACUAUGAGCACAAUCUCUGCUGUUAUCUGAGAAAUUAUUUCUGAUUUCAUUUUUUCCAGAUCCUCUUUUGUUGCCAGUUCAGGGAGUCCAGGUGGUUGAGUAUCACAGUGUUCCAUCUCCUUUCCCUUUGGGAUUUUUUAAGGUGAUCUGGACGUCUGGUUUUGAAACUUGUUUACAUGUCUUCUCAUUUCAGGGAGAGGGUGCUGCUUGCAUCUGCACAGCUCACCUCCUGUGUGCUUGCGGGGGUGGCAUUUGGCCCGGAAGCCUCCUCAUGUGCGCUGGGAGCGGAUCACCUCCUCUGGGCUGGCAGCACAGAUCUACACAUGUUUCCAAGCCACUAAGGGAAAUAGGAUUCACUCCUGUCAGCCCAGCCACGGAGAUCUCAGUGGGGCAGGAAGAAACACAGAAUUCUUCAGUGCUUCUCAAAAGCCAAUAAAUAGACUUCAUCUGAAAAACAGUUCAAAUAGGCAAAACUGCUUUUUAAAAAACAUUUUAGAAAGAUUCCCAUUUACUGGCUUGGAAGAAGCAAGAUGCUAUGUGGUAGAAGCCCAUGCUGGAAAAGCUCAAGAGUGAAG